CCUGAUCCAAUCACAAUGCUUCACCAUAGGAUUGGCUGAGACUGACAAAGAGGCAGAUCAGGGGCAGAGCCAGCAUGAUUCAAACACAGCCCUGGCCAAUCAGCAUCUCCUCAUAGAGAUGAAUUGAAUCAAUGAAUCUCUAUGAGGAAAGUUCAGUGUCUGCAUGCAGAGGGAGGAGACACUGAAUGUUUGGAUGCAUUUUAGGCAGCCAUGACCCAGGAAGGAUCUCUAACGGCCAUCUGAGGAGUGGCCAGUGAAGUUAUCACUAGGCUGUAAUGUAAACACUGCAUUUUCUCUGAAAAGACAGUGUUUACAGCAAAAAGCCUGAAGGGAAUGAUUUUACUCACCAGAACAAAUUCAAUAAGCUGUAGUUGUUCUGGUGACUAUAGUGUCCCUUUA